rnacentral:rRNA from 1 species
AUUGAACGCUGGCGGCAGGCUUUACACAUGCAAGUCGAGCGAGCGGCGGACGUGUGAGUAACGUCUGGGAAACUGCCUGCUGGAGGGGGAUAACUACUGGAAACGGUAGCUACUACCGCUUUUCAUCAGUUUUGCCCAGAUGGGAUCAGCUAGUAGGUGGGGUAAUGGCUCACCUAGGCGACGAUCCCUAGCUGGUCUGAGUGGCUGACCAGCCAGCGUGGAACUUGGCCACGGUCCAGACUCCUACGGGAGGCAGCCGUGGGGAAUGUUGCACAAUGGGCGCAACCCUGAUGCAGCCAUGCCGCGUGUGUGAAGAGGGCCUUCGGGGUGUAAAGCACUUUCAGCGAGGAGGCGUUACUCGCAGAAGAAGCAACGGCUAACUCCGUGCCAGCAGCCGCGGUAAUAC